CCUACGGGAGGCAUCAGUGAGGAAUAUUGGUCAAUGGACGAGAGUCUGAACCAGCCAAGUAGCGUGAAGGAUGACUGCCCUAUGGGUUGUAAACUUCUUUUAUAUGGGAAUAAAACGUUCCACGUGUGGGAUUUUGUAUGUACCAUAUGAAUAAGGAUCGGCUAACUCCGUGCCAGCAGCCGCGGUAAUACGGAGGAUCCGAGCGUUAUCCGGAUUUAUUGGGUUUAAAGGGAGCGUAGGUGGAUUGUUAAGUCAGUUGUGAAAGUUUGCGGCUCAACCGUAAAAUUGCAGUUGAAACUGGCAGUCUUGAGUACAGUAGAGGUGGGCGGAAUUCGUGGUGUAGCGGUGAAAUGCUUAGAUAUCACGAAGAACUCCGAUUGCGAAGGCAGUUCACUGGACUGCAACUGACACUGAGGCUCGAAAGUGUGGGUAUCAAACAGGAUUAGAUACCCUAGUAGUC
rnacentral:rRNA from 1 species